AGCAACCCUUCUGGGUCCCCUUCCACCACGCAGAAGCUUUACUUUCGCUUUCACUUUACUUUUGCUUUCACUUUAACAAAUCUUGCAGCCGCACACUCUUUGGGUCCGCCCGUUUCUCUAAUCAAGUUGUAACACUCGCUGCUGUGGUCCACAGCUUCAUUCCUUGAAGCCCGUGAGACACGAACGCUUCCAUUGAGAAAAACCUUCCAUCAGAAGAAGACUUCUCGUCUCAGUGGGACUGCUGAGUUGAAUGGUGCUUUUUUUUCUGAAGCUUUGGUAGUGUAACUGUAAGAGUCCUGGAAUUGGAAAAGCAAAUCCAGAAGUUGAGUUCCAUGACUUUUUUGCUGUUUGCCUUUGGACUUGCAUCAUUUAUAUUUUUAAUUCAUCGAGGAUGAGAAAAUUGAUUAACACAAAAUCUUUUCAUGUCUUUUCUGAUGAGAGACUAGCUGAAUCCAAGAAGAGAAGCCCUUGAAGAGUGUAUUCUAUUCUAGACAAGCAUUCACACAUUGGCUUCUUUGGUGCCAGCAUGUUUCUGAUCAGCAUGAAAACUGCGCAGGAGCUUUUCUGUCUUGCAGAGCUAGUUAAUGAGAUUGUUGCUGCCUUCAGAUUCUAUAAAGGACUUCUCCAAUAUUGGAUUAAAGAAUGAAGAAAGGAUCAAAUUGAGACAUCCAGGGGGGAAGAGUUCCCUGGCAAAACUCCAAUCUGCCUGAGCACUGAGGUGGAGCCACAGAAGUCCGGGUCAUUUGCACCUGGGAGGAGCCUGGCCCCUCCUCUUCCUGUGUGGAAUCUGGGAUUUAAUCUGUGAGGAGGGAAGGCCAAGGGCAGGAAGCACAGGCUCUCACUUCACUAAGAGUCUCUGUUUCCCCUUUUUUUCCUUUAUGCCUAAUUAAUAAAUCCCAUUUUUCUCACUCUUCAAAUAGUCUUCAAGCCUAAAUUUUCAUGACCAUGGAACAAGGACCCCAUCUUUAGCUGAACUAAGGAAAAGUCCUGCAACAAAAUUCUUUGCUAAAAAUACAUGAGGUUGCCUUUUCCUUCUUAAUCUUAAAAGAAAUAUAUUUCAAUGGUUAACGUUUUAGUAAUUCAAAAAUUAUCAAGCAUUUGUUCACAACCAUAAGAUGUGCAUUGUUUUAUAUUCCUACUUAAUAAUAGACUAUAAUUGUCUAA
rnacentral:lncRNA from 1 species